CAAAAUAAGUCAAUAAAUUGAUUUUCUCGAAUUGGAAAGAUCUAUAGUUUUAUCAAUUUAAUUGUGGCAUAAAUUUUUAAAAUAGGAUUAUAGUUGUGAAAUGCUAUACGUUUUUCAAGAUAUCUAGUUUCUUAAGAAAUGAAUUUAAUUCAGGGUUUCGGGAAUAUGGUUAUGAAUUGAUAUUUCUAUAUUGAGGAGGUCUAAUGUUUUAAGGGAUAAGCUUUAGAACAAAUUAUUAUAAUGGAAUUUAUUUAGUAGAAAGUUUGUAGAGUUGGGAAUGCUUAUCUUUAGUUUGUUAUAAUUAACUUUUUGGUUAAUAUGAUUUAUAUUUAAUUUAAGGUUUAUAUUAAGACUAUGAUUUGAAUAAUGUGUUUUAUGUGAUAAUGUUAAAAUUAGUAUAGUAAAUUGUGUAUUUAAAUUUAAGAUCAAGGUUAAGUUAAGGAACUCGGCAAAUUAGCUUUUCGCCUGUUUAUUAAAAACAUGUCUUUUUGAUUAUAAUUUAAAGUCUGACCUGCCCAAUGAGGAGUUAAAUGGCCGCGGUAAUUUGACCGUGCAAAGGUAGCAUAAUCAUUAGUUUUUUAAUUGAAAGCUGGAAUGAACGGUUGGACGAGAAAGCGACUGUCUCAAUUUAAUUGAUUAUAGAAUUUUAUUUGUGAGUAAAAAAGCUCACAUGAUUUUAAAAGACGAGAAGACCCUAUAGAAUUUUAUAUUUGAAUUUAUAUUUUUUUAUUAGAAGGUUAAGUUUAAUAUAAGUUUAAUUAUUUUGUUGGGGCGAUGGAAAAAUUGAAUAAACUUUUUUUAUUUUAAAUCAUUAAUUUAUGAGUAUUUGAUCCGUUGGUUACGAUUAUAAGAUAAAAUUACCUUAGGGAUAACAGCGUAAUUUUUCUUUAGAGUUCUUAUCGAAAGAAGAGUUUGCGACCUCGAUGUUGGAUUAAAAUUAACUUUUGGUGUAGGGGCUAAAAGGUUAGGUCUGUUCGA
rnacentral:rRNA from 1 species